GAGGGUUUGGGAAAAGAGCUGUCGGGAGCCCUCUGGGAAGGGCGGACUCGGCCUGGAGAGAGAGAUGGGAAGGUAACAGCAAGGGGGCUAGAAAACGAUCUGAAAACUUGGACUAAAAUAAAAGGGGAGAAUCACAGUGUAGUUACUUAUAAAUACUGUGACUACUUUAUAAUCUGUUUUGCUUUCCAUCUCCUGCUUUGUGCAGACAGGUGCUGCCUCACACCACUGGAGCAUUCUGUGCUCUUUGGUCCAGCUGGCACCCCUCCUGUCCUCAGCACAGGGUUCUGCUGUAUGAUUAGCCAGAUGAAGAAGGGGAAAGAAAGACCCUGGAGGAGAUUGAAUUAUGGUACUUUAAGGCAGGAGCUGUUAAUGUUAGAGAGUGACAAUAGAAAAGAAGCCCAGACAGGCACUGAAAUGGGGUAACAGGGAUGCACUUUGGAUCUCUGCUGCUGCUGAAACAGCAAAUCCAUUUUUCCCUCACACAGAUGGGCAACUAAAUAACUGGGCUGCAAGGGGCCUGAGGUGGAUGCCUCUCAGUUACAAAAGUCUUGCGUUGCGUAAACAAAGUGACAUUUGUUGUGCAAGGAGAGAGGGUUGCAAAGGCAAGAGGUUCACUGCUUGCAUGCUGGUAGGUUGCAGCGGUCAAACUCACAUGUACGGCCCAAUGAAUAUUGAAUGACUAUGUCAACAAUGAUUUCUAGAAAAUGAGUUUCCACAUGACAGACCUGGAUAAUCAUCUUCAUUGCUCUGGGGCUAGUGAUAGUGGUGCUAUCUCUGCUUUGCUCAAAUCCUUAUUCCAAUUGGAGCCAAGGGAGAUUUGAAGUCAGGCCCACCACAUCACAUCGCUCUGUGGCAUCAGUUUUGAGCUCCACUUCCCCUCCUGAGAUUUCUUCCUGGCUUGUUCAGGCUUUGUGGAUCACGCUCUUCAGUAUCUAAAUCUGUAACUUCGAGCCCAGCUUAGAGCUGCAGAUCAUCCCACAAACUGGCAAGCUUUCCUCAAUUGAAGGAAGACUGGAUCAUGAACCAGGUUUUCAAUGCAAGAAAAUUAACAAAAAGGAACACACCCCCACUUUUGGCAAUUAAACUGUAGGUGACACCCUGGAAGUCCUCAGUUACCAACUACUCAGUUUCAGAAACUCACAGGAGAGGAAGAAAAAAAGAGAGACAGCCAGAUCAAACAGUUUCCAAACCUCACUCAUCACAACUACAUGAGAUUAAUGCUGUUGACUUAGAACAGAUUUAUGGAAAAUGUACAGCACUUCCAGAAGAUGACUGCAGCAGUUUCACAGCACCAGGGGAACGAAACAGGCCAGAAAACACCCACAUUUUGCAAAUGAAGCAAAAACUGAUCUUAACAGGAAAACUUGGUAUUAACUUUCAUCUGCAGCAUGUAACAUAAAGGUUCACUGAAAAGUACGUGCUCCAAAUCUGAACUGUGAUUCACCUGGACUGAACCCAAGUUCCUGCUUUGGCUUUUGGAUGGGUAAUAGAACACAGCAUAGCAACUCAUGCCAGUAUUUUCUCCUGGAAAUUAUUUUGAAAGAAGAUCUAUCGGCAAUACUUGUUGCACCAUACUGAAAAUGGACUCGGCUUUGGUAACACCGGAGGCUCAGUCAGUCCUCUUAAUAUUUUAGUGCAAAUCACAUCACCAAAGAAAAGUGUGAUAUGUCAAAAGAAACAA